CUAACAGUCACAGGCAAAAUUUAUUGAAAAAGAGGCUCCGCUUUCUUAAAUCGGUCUAUGUUUUCAUACAGAAAUUGAAAUCGAAACUUAUUUUUGUUUGAUAAAUGCCAUUUUCAGAUAAAUAAAGUUCACUUCUGCUUUCUAUCACUUUUCAUACAAUUUUAAGACAGUAUGGAUGUAUUGAAAUAUGCAGGGUAGAGUCAAGGAGCACGCUUUCUGUGUAUAAAAAGUGUUCGUUGAAAUACCAUCAAAAUUGGUUGUGUUUUAUAUUUGGCACCUUAAUGGGUGUAGCAUGUGGUGUAAUUUAAAGGAUAGCGCUAAAAGCUGUCAGACUAACAUAGUGAAUUGAAAAAAGAAAGGAAAACUUCCGCUUUGUUAAGGCGCACUUUUCAAAAGAAAUUGUUGUCUGUAAUAAAUGAACUCACCAAAAAAAAAAGUACAUACACUCAGCACCCUUUGCUCCGUUUACAACUGCUGCAUAAAUAUUCUACCACUUGCAACGCUUGCAUUAGUAUGAUGGGUCUUAUGAGCUGUAAUUUGCUGAUUACAGCUGCACAUUUUUUCGACUUGUCCCCCAUUUAAGAUGGCUUUCCUUACAUCUACCCACCUUAUUUGAAUAGUUGAAGAUUUUAUAAGCUGGAGAAUGGCAACAAUGACAUCGCAAAAUCGAUCAAUUGCCAUACUAAAAAAAAGGAAGAAGCAAUGCACUCAAUGGUAACGUCACAAUCACAUUAUUAAUUCAUCGAAUACAUAUGCAUUGUGUUAAAUAAAAUUAAAGGUUGUAUGACAUAUGGCGAGGACCAUUCGGGUGCCGUAAAGAAGUCGUGGCAUCCGCUUAACCCGUUGAAAUAAUAAAUUGUUUGUUAGUUAUUUGCAAA